rnacentral:rRNA from 1 species
UGGGGAAUAUUGCACAAUGGGCGCAAGCCUGAUGCAGCCAUGCCGCGUGUAUGAAGAAGGCCUUCGGGUUGUAAAGUACUUUCAGUCGGGAGGAAGGUGUCAAGGUUAAUAACCUUGGCAAUUGACGUUACCGACAGAAGAAGCACCGGCUAACUCCGUGCCAGCAGCCGCGGUAAUACGGAGGUUGCAAGCGUUAAUCGGAAUUACUGGGCGUAAAGCGCACGCAGGCGGUUGAUUGAGUCAGAUGUGAAAUCCCCGGGCUCAACCUGGGAACUGCAUCUGAUACUGGCAAGCUUGAGUCUCGUAGAGGGGGGUAGAAUUCCAGGUGUAGCGGUGAAAUGCGUAGAGAUCUGGAGGAAUACCGGUGGCGAAGGCGGCCCCCUGGACGAAGACUGACGCUCAGGUGCGAAAGCGUGGGGAGCAAACAGG